rnacentral:tRNA from 1 species
UGGCUUAGACGGUAAAGCAUCUGCCUACAAUGCGGGAGACCCAGGUUCGAUCCCUGG